rnacentral:misc_RNA from 1 species
GAUGAAGAACGCAGUGAAAUGCGAUAAGUAAUGUGAAUUGCAGAAUUCAGUGAAUCAUCGAAUCUUUGAACGCACAUUGCGCCCGUCAGUAUUCUGGCGGGCAUGCCUGUUCGAGCGUCAUUACGCCCCUCAAGUCCCCUGUGGACUUGGUGUUGGGGAUCGGCGAGGCUGGUUUUCCAGCACAGCCGUCCCUUAAAUUAAUUGGCGGUCUCGCCGUGGCCCUCCUCUGCGCAGUAGUAAAACACUCGCAACAGGAGCCCGGCGCGGUCCACUGCCGUAAAACCCCCCAACUUUUUAUAGUUGACCUCGAAUCAGGUAGGACUACACGCUGAACUUAAGCAUAUCAAUAAGCGGAGGA